AUGGUCGUGUGCGACUUCGACCUGAACUUCACCUUCAUUUCUUGUGGCUGGGAGGGAUCUGCUACCGAUGCUAAAGUUCUCCGGUCAGCACUUAAUAGUGGGUUUCAUGUACCUCCGGGCAAGUUUUAUCUGGUUGAUGGUGGUUAUGCCAACACACCUUACUUCUUGGCACCGUAUCGUGGUGUUCGGUACCAUCUGAAGGAGUUUGCACGCGGUCGCCGUCAACCCCAAAAUCACAGGGAGCUAUUCAAUCUCCGUCAUGCCGUGUUACGAAAUCACAUCGAACGGGGAUUAGGAAUCUUGAAGAAGCGGUUCCCAAUCCUAAAAUUGGGCACACAUUAUCGAAUAGAGAACCAAGUCCAGCUACCAGCAGCGGCGGCAAUCUUACAUAACAUCAUCUGA
rnacentral:rRNA from 1 species